UGGCUGUCGUCAGCUCGUGUCGUGAGAUGGUUGGGUUAACGUCCCGUAACGAGCGCAACCCUUGUCCUUAGUUACCAGCACGUUAUGGUGGGCACUCUAAGGAGACUGCCGGUGACAAACCGGAGGAAGGUGGGGAUGACGUCAAGUCAUCAUGGCCCUUACGGCCUGGGCUACACACGUGCUACAAUGGUCGGUACAAAGGGUUGCCAAGCCGCGAGGUGGAGCUAAUCCCAUAAAACCGAUCGUAGUCCGGAUCGCAGUCUGCAACUCGACUGCGUGAAGUCGGAAUCGCUAGUAAUCGUGAAUCAGAAUGUCACGGUGAAUACGUUCCCGGGCCUU
rnacentral:rRNA from 1 species